UACGGAGGGGGCUAGCGUUGUUCGGAAUUACUGGGCGUAAAGCGCACGUAGGCGGCUUUGUAAGUUAGAGGUGAAAGCCCGGGGCUCAACUCCGGAAUUGCCUUUAAGACUGCAUCGCUAGAAUUGUGGAGAGGUGAGUGGAAUUCCGAGUGUAGAGGUGAAAUUCGUAGAUAUUCGGAAGGAACACCAGUGGCGAAGGCGGCUCACUGGACUGGUAUUGACGCUGAGGUGGCGAAAAGCGUGGGGAGCAAACAGG
rnacentral:rRNA from 1 species